ACGCUCGACACCUACGGGAGCAGCAGUGAGGAAUAUUGGUCAAUGGGCGCAGGCCUGAACCAGCCAAGUAGCGUGAAGGAUGACUGCCCUAUGGGUUGUAAACUUCUUUUAUAUGGGAAUAAAGUUUUCCACGUGUGGAAUUUUGUAUGUACCAUAUGAAUAAGGAUCGGCUAACUCCGUGCCAGUAGCCGCGGUAAUCUGAGCGGGCUGGCAAGGC
rnacentral:rRNA from 1 species